rnacentral:rRNA from 1 species
UAUUUAUGUGUGACUCAAUUAUAACUUAAAGAUAAUUUUAUAAGUAGUAAAAAGAUAGAAUAAUAGAUUUGAAAUAUUUAUUAUAUAGAUUUAAAGAGAUAAUCAUGGAAUACAGAAUAUAUUUUAAUUAUUUUUUAUAAUUAAGAUAUUAAACUAUUAAUAGAAUUA